ensembl:miRNA
UUGAGCUACAUUUGCUUGCGUUCUCUAAGUGUCUGGCUGAAAACGCACUGGACUUGGAGUCAGAAGUUGAGGUUCCU